ACCUGUCACGCGCACCCCGGCACCACACGGUGCGCGUGACCAGCAGACACACCACACACAAGUGCCAGGAAGAAACGGGCACUGAUGGGCGUU
rfam:Streptomyces griseoaurantiacus M045 Contig042, whole genome shotgun sequence.